rnacentral:rRNA from 1 species
GACGAACGCUGGCGGCGUGCUUAACACAUGCAAGUCGAACGGUGACGAGGAGCUUGCUCCUCUGAUCAGUGGCGAACGGGUGAGUAACACGUGAGCAACCUGCCCCAGACUCUGGGAUAACAGUUGGAAACAGCUGCUAAUACCGGAUACGAGACGGAGAGGCAUCUCUACCGUCUGGAAAGUUUUCGGUCUGGGAUGGACUCGCGGCCUAUCAGCUAGUUGGUGAGGUAAUGGCUCACCAAGGCGACGACGGGUAGCCGGCCUGAGAGGGCGACCGGCCACACUGGGACUGAGACACGGCCCAGACUCCUACGGGAGGCAGCAGUGGGGAAUAUUGCACAAUGGGCGAAAGCCUGAUGCAGCGACGCCGCGUGAGGGAUGAAGGCCUUCGGUUGUAAACCUCUUUCUAGCAGGGAAGAAGCGAAAGUGACGGUACCUGCAGAAGAAGCACCGGCUAACCUACGUGCCAGCAGCCGCGGUAA